UACGUAGGGUGCGAGCGUUAAUCGGAAUUACUGGGCGUAAAGCGUGCGCAGGCGGUUCGUUAAGUUCGUUGUGAAAGCCCCGGGCUCAACCUGGGAACUGCAAUGGAAACUGGCGGGCUUGAGUGUGGCAGAGGGGGGGUGGAAUUCCGCGUGUAGCAGUGAAUGCGUAGAGAUGCGGAGGACACCGAUGGCGAAGGCAGCCCCCUGGGCCAACACUGACGCUCAGGCACGAAAGCGUGGGGAGCAAACAGG
rnacentral:rRNA from 1 species